GAAAUAUCAAACAAAACACCAUUUUUGGAAGUCUUGAGGUUCAACCAACUUUAGUUCUUUGCAUGGUAAGCUAAACCAAGCUCGUUUCAUGUUUUUGAGAUCGUUGUAGUUUAAUCUAAUUAGCCCGGGUACUAAAUCGUAAAAUUGUUAAAGUUUUAAAAUGUUUCCAUUGAUUUUUUUUGAUGUUUUUGUUGUCAUAUAGCUUGGUUAUAAGCUUAUAUUUGAUUAUGGACUAAUUUGUAUGGUGAAAUUGGUUCGUUUUGAGUUUAGGAACUAAAAUGAAAAUAUUUUGAUUUAGCAUGAAAUUUCUAUAAUUAUUUAUUGUAGAGGGAUAUAUAAGGAUAUAUUUGAAAUCGGAUUGUGAAAUGAGGCUUAAUUAUGAAAGACAUGAUAGUUUUGGUUUUAAGGACUAAAUUGAAUAAAAUGUGAAAUUUAGGGAAACUAUGAAAAGUGAUAAGAUAUCAUAUGCAUUAAACAAAUUGUUAUAAGGUAAUUGACACUGAUAUUUUGAAAUGAAUUACUGUAUAGAUCAAGAAUUGAAUUAAUCGGUAUAUAAUCGAGGAAAAGGAAAAUUACAAAUUAGUCCCUGACACUUAUAUUGUUGUUUGUACUUGGUAAGUUCAUAUGGUGUAGUUAUGUUUAUAAAUGUACUGAAUAUGCUUAAAUCAUGAGUUGUUGUUAUAUAAAUUGUAUUUUGAAAUGCAUUCAAAAUGGUACAAAAGGGUGAGAAAGACUGAAAUGUAAAGAAUUGUUCUAAUAUGUGUAUUGAGCUCAGACUAAUUUAGGAUAAAAUACAAUUGACUUGACAAUAGGGUUAGCUACGCGCUAGUACGAGAUAUACAUUACGAUGCCUACUGGUGUGGUUUAGUUAACUUCUUAUUUGUAUCUGUUAUUAUAUUUCAUCGAGUUAAUGAUUUAAGAAGGAAGAGUAUUGUCUAAUUCGGUAUAGCGAUCGGAAAUAAAUGUGUUCAUAUGUUUUGAUUGGGCAAAUGAUGUAUUUCAUUUGAUAAUUUAGAUGAAACAAUACUGAAUUGAUUUGUACUAGUGAAUGGAUGGAUUAUACGAUUGUAUAUGAAAUACUCACCUUCGGUUGUGAUAUGUUGUGACAGGAAACAUAGUUAAAUUUGUUGUUUUUAAUUGUUUAAUUAUGAAAUAAGAUAAGUUUACUGUUUUAACACCUAUGAGCUUACUGAGUAUAUAUAUAUGCUUACCCUAUUGUUUUUUGCUGUCUUGUUUUCUCUUCGCGGAACGUGAAAACCGAAUCAACUCUGAGCUAAUAAGAAGUUACGGAAAGCCAAAGUUCCUGCAAAAAUAAAAAUUCAUCGUUGGCAUCUUUUUCAUGACUCUCUUCCAACCAUGAAGGACUUGGGUAAGAGGAGAUUAACUAAUUGGGUGGAACGCAAGUGAAAAGGGUCACAACCUGAAACGACCUUCCAUGCAUGUAGGGAUUGUGAGCAUGUUCGCGCUAUUUGGGCCUGGCCUUUAAUUAGGGGUUGACCGAUGGGAUUCCCUUGCAAGAUUGAUUAUCCUCAUGGAUUAGUUCUUCUGAUGAGAAAUUUUUUAAAGUGGGCUUAAUUUGUCAUUGCCAUGCUUAGUUCAAUCGAAAUGAAAUUUACAUAAGGGUGUUGUAGCCUUUGUGGAGGAACAAUGUAGGUUCAUUUUGGCUUAUCAAGUAGCAUACUCUGGUGAUUAGAUUUCCAUGGUGCUGAAACAAAGCUUUGGUAUGGUUUGUUGGUCUCUAUAGGUUAAUCUUUAAGUUAAGCUAAACUUUGAUGAAGUUCUUUUACAAGAAGCGAAGCGAGGUGCUGUUGACUUUGUGGUGAGGAAUCCCCAUGGAAAGAUUCUGGGUUCUUGCAUGGUUUUUCUCCCUUGUGUGUUUGAUUUGGAAAUGCAAAGGCUUUUGCAUGUUUUAAUGCCCUUAAAUUUGCUGGAGACCUUGGUCUAAGAAAGGUGAUACUAAAAGGAGAUGCAAUGAAUUUGAUCAGGAGUUUCGAGAAUGGGGGAAUUGAUGUUUUCAAAACAGGUGUAAUGCUUAGGAAUUGCAAAAUGGAGGAGAAGCGUUUGAUUGCUUGUCUUUAUUGUAAUGUAUCUUGAUAUGGUAAUCAAGUGGCUCACCAACUUGCUAAAUUUGCCCUUGGUAUCAAUGAGUUAUUGUUUUGGGUAAAUGAAGUGCCAUGGGAAGACAUGCCUAUUGUAAAUAUUAAUUGUACUUCUUAUUGGUAUUAAUA
rnacentral:lncRNA from 1 species